UACAGAGGGGGCAAGCGUUGUUCGGAAUUACUGGGCGUAAAGGGCGCGUAGGCGGCCUGCUAAGUCGAACGUGAAAUCCCUGGGCUCAACCCAGGAACUGCGUCCGAUACUGGUUGGCUUGAAUCCGGGAGAGGGAUGUGGAAUUCCAGGUGUAGCGGUGAAAUGCGUAGAUAUCUGGAGGAACACCGGUGGCGAAGGCGGCGACCUGGUCCUUUUACUGACGCUGAGGCGCGAAAGCGUGGGGAGCAAACAGG
rnacentral:rRNA from 1 species